rnacentral:rRNA from 1 species
CCAAGUUUUUAAGGGCGCACGGUGGAUGCCUUGGCACCAGGAACCGAUGAAGGACGUGGGAGGCCACGAUAGUCCCCGGGGAGCUGUCAACCAAGCUUUGAUCCGGGGGUUUCCGAAUGGGGAAACCCGGCAGUCGUCAUGGGCUGUCACCCGCUGCUGAACACAUAGGCAGUGUGGAGGGAACGAGGGGAAGUGAAACAUCUCAGUACCCUCAGGAAGAGAAAACAACCGUGAUUCCGGGAGUAGUGGCGAGCGAAACUGGAUGAGGCCAAACCGUAUGCGUGUGAUACCCGGCAGGGGUUGCGCAUGCGGGGUUGUGGGAUCUCUCUUUCAUAGUCUGCCGGCUGUGAGACGAGUCAGAAACCGUUGAUGUAGGCGAAGGACAUGCGAAAGGUCCGGCGUAGAGGGUAAGACCCCCGUAGCUGAAACAUCAGCGGCUUGUUUGAGAGACACCCAAGUAGCACGGGGCCCGAGAAAUCCCGUGUGAAUCUGGCGGGACCACCCGCUAAGCCUAAAUAUUCCCUGGUGACCGAUAGCGGAUAGUACCGUGAGGGAAUGGUGAAAAGUACCGCGGGAGCGGAGUGAAAUAGUACCUGAAACCGUGUGCCUACAAGCCGUGGGAGCGUCGCAAACUCCGUGAUAGCUGGUUCUCCCCGAAAUGCAUUUAGGUGCAGCGUCGUGUGUUUCUUGCCGGAGGUAGAGCACUGGAUAGGCGAUGGGCCCUACCGGGUUACUGACCUUAGCCAAACUCCGAAUGCCGGUAAGUGAGAGCGCGGCAGUGAGACUGUGGGGGAUAAGCUCCAUGGUCGAGAGGGAAACAGCCCAGAGCAUCGACUAAGGCCCCUAAGCGUACGCUAAGUGGGAAAGGAUGUGGAGUCGCAGAGACAACCAGGAGGUUGGCUUAGAAGCAGCCACCCUUGAAAGAGUGCGUAAUAGCUCACUGGUCAAGUGAUUCCGCGCCGACAAUGUAGCGGGGCUCAAGCGUACCGCCGAAGUCGUGUCAUUCAUACACMUAGGGCCAACGCCUGUAUGGAUGGGUAGGGGAGCGUCGUGUGCCGGGUGAAGCAGCCGCGGAAGCGAGUUGUGGACGGUUCACGAGUGAGAAUGCAGGCAUGAGUAGCGAUACACACGUGAGAAACGUGUGCGCCGAUUGACUAAGGGUUCCUGGGUCAAGCUGAUCUGCCCAGGGUAAGUCGGGACCUAAGGCGAGGCCGACAGGCGUAGUCGAUGGACAACCGGUUGAUAUUCCGGUACCCGCUUUGAAACGCCCAGUACUGAAUCAGGCGAUGCUAAGUCCGUGAAGCCGGCCCGAUCUCUUCGGAGUUGAGGGUAGUGGUGGAGCCGAUGAACCAGACUUGUAGUAGGUAAGCGAUGGGGUGACGCAGGAAGGUAGUCCAGCCCGGGCGGUGGUUGUCCCGGGGUAAGGGUGUAGGACGACUCGGUGAGCUGGGGGUGGCCGCAGAGACCAGCGAGAAGCGACUGUUUACUAAAAACACAGGUCCGUGCGAAGCCGUAAGGCGAUGUAUACGGACUGACGCCUGCCCGGUGCUGGAACGUUAAGGGGACCGGUUAGCUGCUCUUCGGGGUGGCGAAGCUGAGAACUUAAGCGCCAGUAAACGGCGGUGGUAACUAUAACCAUCCUAAGGUAGCGAAAUUCCUUGUCGGGUAAGUUCCGACCUGCACGAAUGGCGUAACGACUUCUCGACUGUCUCAACCAUAGGCCCGGUGAAAUUGCACUACGAGUAAAGAUGCUCGUUUCGCGCAGCAGGACGGAAAGACCCCGGGACCUUUACUAUAGUUUGAUAUUGGUGUUCGGUUCGGCUUGUGUAGGAUAGGUGGGAGACUGUGAAGCGGCCACGCCAGUGGUUGUGGAGUCGUCGUUGAAAUACCACUCUGGUCGUGCUGGAUGUCUAACCUGGGUCCGUGAUCCGGAUCAGGGACAGUGUCUGAUGGGUAGUUUAACUGGGGCGGUUGCCUCCUAAAGAGUAACGGAGGCGCCCAAAGGUUCCCUCAGCCUGGUUGGUAAUCAGGUGUUGAGUGUAAGUGCACAAGGGAGCUUGACUGUGAGACCGACGGGUCGAGCAGGGACGAAAGUCGGGACUAGUGAUCCGGCAGUGGCUUGUGGAAGCGCUGUCGCUCAACGGAUAAAAGGUACCCCGGGGAUAACAGGCUGAUCUUCCCCAAGAGUCCAUAUCGACGGGAUGGUUUGGCACCUCGAUGUCGGCUCGUCGCAUCCUGGGGCUGGAGUCGGUCCCAAGGGUUGGGCUGUUCGCCCAUUAAAGCGGUACGCGAGCUGGGUUUAGAACGUCGUGAGACAGUUCGGUCCCUAUCCGCUGUGCGCGUAGGAAUAUUGAGAAGGGCUGUCCCUAGUACGAGAGGACCGGGACGGACGAACCUCUGGUGUGCCAGUUGUCCUGCCAAGGGCAUGGCUGGUUGGCUACGUUCGGAAAGGAUAACCGCUGAAAGCAUCUAAGCGGGAAGCCUGCUUCGAGAUGAGUAUUCCCACCCUCUUGAGGGGUUAAGGCUCCCAGUAGACGACUGGGUUGAUAGGCCAGAUGUGGAAGCCCGGUAACGGGUGGAGCUGACUGGUACUAAUAGGCCGAGGGCUUGUCCUC